AAUCAACGCUGGCGGCGUGCCUAACACAUGCAAGUCGAACGAGAAAGUGGAGCAAUCCAUGAGUAAAGUGGCGACCGGGUGAGUAACACGUGACUAACCUACCCUCGAGUGUGGAAUAACAUCGGGAAACCGAUGCUAAUACCGCAUAACAUCGCAAGAUCAAAGGAGCAAUCCGCUUGAGGAGGGGGUCGCGGCUGAUUAGCUAGUUGGCGGGGUAACGGCCCACCAAGGCGAAGAUCGGUAGCCGGCCUGAGAGGGCGCACGGCCACACUGGAACUGAAACACGGUCCAGACUCCUACGGGAGGCAGCAGUGGGGAAUUUUGCGCAAUGGGGGAAACCCUGACGCAGCAACGCCGCGUGGAGGAUGAAGCCCCUUGGGGCGUAAACUCCUUUCGACCAAGACGAUAAUGACGGUACUGGUGGAAGAAGCACCGGCUAACUCUGUGCCAGCAGCCGCGGUAAUACAGAGGGUGCAAGCGUUGUUCGGAAUUAUUGGGCGUAAAGGGCGCGUAGGCGGCGCGACAAGUCACCUGUGAAAUCCCCAGGCUUAACCUGGGGCCUGCAGGCGAAACUGUCG
rnacentral:rRNA from 1 species